rnacentral:rRNA from 1 species
AGCGCAGGUGGUUUAUUAAGUCUGGUGUAAAAGGCAGUGGCUCAACCAUUGUAUGCAUUGGAAACUGGUAGACUUGAGUGCAGGAGAGGAGAGUGGAAUUCCAUGUGUAGCGGUGAAAUGCGUAGAUAUAUGGAGGAACACCGGUGGCGAAAGCGGCUCUCUGGCCUGUAACUGACACUGAGGCUCGAAGGCUGGGAGCAAACA